rnacentral:rRNA from 1 species
GCCAUGCCGCGUGUGUGAAGAAGGCCCUCGGGUUGUAAAGCACUUUCAGUGAGGAAGAACGCCUGGCGGUUAAUACCCGCCAGGAAAGACAUCACUCACAGAAGAAGCACCGGCUAACUCCGUGCCAGCAGCCGCGGUAAUACGGAGGGUGCAAGCGUUAAUCGGAAUUACUGGGCGUAAAGCGCGCGUAGGUGGCUUGAUAAGCCGGUUGUGAAAGCCCCGGGCUCAACCUGGGAACGGCAUCCGGAACUGUCAAGCUAGAGUGCAGGAGAGGAAGGUAGAAUUCCCGGUGUAGCGGUGAAAUGCGUAGAGAUCGGGAGGAAUACCAGUGGCGAAGGCGGCCUUCUGGACUGACACUGACACUGAGGUGCGAAAGCGUGGGUAGCAAACAGGAUUAGAUACCCUGGUAGUCCACGCCGUAAACGAUGUCGACCAGCCGUUGGGUGCCUAGCGCACUUUGUGGCGAAGUUAACGCGAUAAGUCGACCGCCUGGGGAGUACGGCCGCAAGGUUAAAACUCAA